CAGCAGCCGCGGGAAAACGUAGGUGGCAAGCGUUGUCCGGAAUUAUUGGGCGUAAAGGGCUCGCAGGCGGUUUCUUAAGUCUGAUGUGAAAUCUAUGGGCUCAACCCAUAGUCUGCAUUAGAAACUGUCGGGCUCGAGUAUGGGAGAGGUGAGUGGAAUUUCCGGUGUAGCGGUGAAAUGCGUAGAUAUCGGAAGGAACACCUGUGGCGAAAGCGGCUCACUGGACCAUUACUGACGCUGAGGCACGAAAGCUAGGGGAGCAAACAGGAUUAGAUACCCGAGUAGUCCCUGUCUCUUAUAC
rnacentral:rRNA from 1 species